GCGUAACACGUAUGUAAUCUGCCCUUAACAGGGGGAUAGCCCGGAGAAAUCCGGAUUAAUACCCCAUAGUAAUAGGAAGUGGCAUCACUUUUUAUUUAAAGCUCCGGCGGUUAAGGAUGAACAUGCGACUGAUUAGCUAGUUGGUGAGGUAACGGCUCACCAAGGCGACGAUCAGUAGGGGUACUGAGAGGUUAAACCCCCACACUGGUACUGAGACACGGACCAGACUCCUACGGGAGGCAGCAGUAAGGAAUAUUGGACAAUGGAGGCAACUCUGAUCCAGCCAUGCCGCGUGCAGGAAGAAGGCGCUAUGCGUUGUAAACUGCUUUUGUACCAGAGAAAAUCACUGUACGUGUACGGUGUUGAUAGUAUGGUAAGAAUAAGCAUCGGCUAACUUCGUGCCAGCAGCCGCGGUAAUACGAAGGAUGCGAGCGUUAUCCGGAUUUAUUGGGUUUAAAGGGAGCGUAGGCGGUCUUAUAAGUCAGUGGUGAAAUCUCGUUGCUUAACAACGACCGUGCCAUUGAUACUGUAGGACUUGAGUACAGUUGCCGUUGGCGGAAUGUGUCAUGUAGCGGUGAAAUGC
rnacentral:rRNA from 1 species